rnacentral:rRNA from 1 species
UACGUAGGGUGCGAGCGUUAAUCGGAAUUACUGGGCGUAAAGCGUGCGCAGGCGGUGAUGUAAGACAGAUGUGAAAUCCCCGGGCUCAACCUGGGACCUGCAUUUGUGACUGCAUCGCUAGAGUACGGCAGAGGGGGGUGGAAUUCCGCGUGUAGCAGUGAAAUGCGUAGAUAUGCGGAGGAACACCGAUGGCGAAGGCCAAUCCCUGGCCUGUACUGACACUCAUGCACGAAAGCGUGGGGAGCAAACAGG